rnacentral:rRNA from 1 species
GCAUAUCAAUAAGCGGAGGAAAAGAAACCAACAGGGAUUGCCCCAGUAACGGCGAGUGAAGCGGCAAGAGCUCAAAUUUGAAAGCUGGCUCCUUCGGGGUCCGCAUUGUAAUUUGCAGAGGAUGCUUCGGGAGCGGUCCCCAUCUAAGUGCCCUGGAACGGGACGUCAUAGAGGGUGAGAAUCCCGUAUGGGAUGGGGUGUCCGCGCCCGUGUGAAGCUCCUUCGACGAGUCGAGUUGUUUGGGAAUGCAGCUCUAAAUGGGUGGUAAAUUUCAUCUAAAGCUAAAUAUUGGCCGGAGACCGAUAGCGCACAAGUAGAGUGAUCGAAAGAUGAAAAGCACUUUGAAAAGAGAGUUAAAAAGCACGUGAAAUUGUUGAAAGGGAAGCGCUUGCGACCAGACUCGCUCGCGGGGUUCAGCCGGCAUUCGUGCCGGUGUAUUUCCCCGCGGGCGGGCCAGCGUCGGUUUGGGCGGUCGGUCAAAGGCCCUCGGAAGGUAACGCCCCUAGGGGCGUCUUAUAGCCGAGGGUGCAAUGCGACCUGCCUAGACCGAGGAACGCGCUUCGGCUCGGACGCUGGCAUAAUGGUCGUAAGCGACCCGUCUUG